AGUAGCUUACGUUAAUUCCGAAGUCACCUUGACAUGGUGGGGGUCGUUGGUUCGAGUCCAAUCGCGCCUACCA
rnacentral:tRNA from 1 species